rnacentral:rRNA from 1 species
UACGUAGGGGGCUAGCGUUGUCCGGAUUUAUUGGGCGUAAAGAGCUCGUAGGCGGUCUGUUGCGUCGGCUGUGAAAACCCGGGGCUCAACCCCGGGCCUGCAGCCGAUACGGGCAGACUAGAGUUCGGCAGGGGAGACUGGAAUUCCUGGUGUAGCGGUGAAAUGCGCAGAUAUCAGGAGGAACACCGGUGGCGAAGGCGGGUCUCUGGGCCGAUACUGACGCUGAGGAGCGAAAGCGUGGGGAGCGAACAGG